UUUCCGUAGGUGAACCUGCGGAAGGAUCAUUAGUGAAUUGAAUAUGUUAGCGGACCUCUUCGGAGUCCCUAGCAUCAAAUCAUAUCCAUAACACCUGUGAACUGUAAGGCUGUCUUGAAAACGAAAGUGAUUAGAGCGCCUGCCCAUUUUAUACAAACAUUAAAGUAACAAACGUAGUCUUAUUAUAAUCUAAUAAACUUUCAACAACGGAUCUCUUGGCUCUC
rnacentral:misc_RNA from 1 species